GACGAACGCUGGCGGCGUGCUUAACACAUGCAAGUCGAACGAGUGGCGAACGGGUGAGUAACGCGUAUCCACCUGCCCUUCAGAGGGGGACAACAGUUGAACACGACAGCUAAUACCGCAUAUUAUUCGAUGGGACGGUGUUUUAUUAGCUGGUUGGCGGGGUAAAGGCCCACCAAGGCGACGAGCAGUAGCGGGCCUGAGAGGAUGAUCGGCCAAACGGGGACUGAGAAACGGCCCAGACUCCUACGGGAGGCAGCAGUGGGGAAUUUUGGACAAUGGGCGCAAGCCUGAUCCAGCCAUGCCGCGUGGCUGAAGAAGGCCUUCGGGUUGUAAAGGACUUUUGUCAGGGAAGCGGUACCUGAAGAAAAAGCACCGGCUAACUACGUGCCAGCAGCCGCGGUAAUAC
rnacentral:rRNA from 1 species